AUUGAACGCUGGCGGCAUGCUUUACACAUGCAAGUCGAACGGUAACAGGCCUUCGGGUGCUGACGAGUGGCGAACGGGUGAGUAAUGCAUCGGAACGUACCCAGAGGUGGGGGAUAACGCAGCGAAAGCUGUGCUAAUACUGCAUGUGAUCUGAGGAUGAAAGCGGGGGACCGAGCAGCAAUGUUUGGCCUCGCGCCUUUGGAGCGGCCGAUGUCGGAUUAGCUAGUUGGUGGGGUAAAGGCCUACCAAGGCGACGAUCCGUAGCUGGUCUGAGAGGACGACCAGCCACACUAGGACUGAGACACGGCCCAGACUCCUACGGGAGGCAGCAGUGGGGAAUUUUGGACAAUGGGCGCAAGCCUGAUCCAGCAAUGCCGCGUGCGGGAAGAAGGCCUUCGGGUUGUAAACCGCUUUUGGCAGGAACGAAACGGUGUCCGCUAAUACCGGGCGCUAAUGACGGUACCUGCAGAAUAAGCACCGGCUAACUACGUG
rnacentral:rRNA from 1 species